UAUCAUGGAGAGUUUGAUCCUGGCUCAGGACGAACGCUGGCGGCGUGCUUAACACAUGCAAGUCGAACGAGAAGAGAUGAGAAGCUUGCUUCUUAUCAA
rnacentral:rRNA from 1 species